rnacentral:rRNA from 1 species
GACGAACGCUGGCGGCGUGCCUAAUACAUGCAAGUCGAGCGGGCCUCCGGAGGUGCUUGCACCUCCGGAAGGCCAGCGGCGGACGGGUGAGUAGCACGUGGGCAACCUGCCUUUGAGGCCGGGAUAACACCGGGAAACCGGUGCUAAUACCGGAUACGUCCUCUUUCGCGCCUGCGAGAGGGGAGAAAGACGGUCUUUAAGGCCGUCGCUCCAAUAGGGGCUCGCGGCGCAUUAGCUGGUUGGUGGGGUAAGGGCCUACCAAGGCGACGAUGCGUUGCCGACCUGAGAGGGUGAUCGGCCACACUGGGACUGAGACACGGCCCAGACUCCUGCGGGAGGCAGCAGUAGGGAAUCAUCCGCAAUGGGCGAAAGCCUGACGGUGCAACGCCGCGUGAGUGAGGAAGGUUUUCGGAUCGUAAAGCUCUGUUGUGAGGGAAGAACAGCUUCCGGAGGAAAUGCCGGAGGUUUGCCGGUACCUCACCAGAAAGCCCCGGCUAACUACGUGCCAGCAGCCGCAGUAAAAC